rnacentral:rRNA from 1 species
ACGGGGUGCAGCAGGCGCGAAACCUCCGCAAUGCGGGAAACCGCGACGGGGUUAGCCGGAGUGCCCGUGCAUUGCACGGGCUGUCGGGGUGCCUAAACAGCACCCCAUAGCAAGGGCCGGGCAAGGCCGGUGGCAGCCGCCGCGGUAAGACCGGCGGCCCGAGUGGCGGCCACUCUUAUUGGGCCUAAAGCGUCCGUAGCCGGCCCAGUAAGUCCCCCGGGAAAUCUGGUCGCUUAACGAUCAGACUUCCGGGGGAUACUGCUGGGCUAGGGACCGGGAGAGGCCGAGGGUAUUCCCGGGGUAGGGGUGAAAUCCUGUAAUCCCGGGAGGACCACCUGUGGCGAAGGCGCUCGGCUGGAACGGGUCCGACGGUGAGGGACGAAGGCCUGGGGAGCGAACCGGAUUAGAUACCCGGGUAGUCCAGGCUGUAAACGAUGCGGG